rnacentral:lncRNA from 1 species
UUGGUUUUAGGAGAAAGGGAGAUUAUUUUUUUCAGCGAUAAGUAGUAUACUAUUUGCUAAUUAAAUAAAUUUAGCUGAAAAUAUAAAUCAAUUAGAAUUCGAACUUAAGACCUCGGAUACUAACCACCAAGUAUUUUGCUACUUGCGCUAGGAACGGAUGGUAGAAAGGGAGAUUAUUAGGUCACUACUUGUUCGGAUUGGAUUUUACAGCUCUUUAUUUUUAUCGUUGUUUUUUAAAUUCCGUGUUGGUGAAGAGUGCUUCUCCUACUGAUAAAACAAGAGACCAACAAUUGAUAGCAUAGUAUUCGCAAUAAUUGGAAGCUAGUAAGUGAUUUAUAUCUUAAGAUUUGAUGUUUCGUAAACUAAACUUAACGAAAGGGACCGGCUGUGAGAUACUGAGCACAUUUCAAACCCACACAACAUAUGAGUACAGCGAAAAUAUGACCUUUUAUAGAGGAAAACGAUCGUAGAAAAUAAACACGAGAAUAACAACGUAAUAAAAUAAAACAAAAGAAUACAAUAAUACAAGAUUUACGUUGUUCGGCCAACGAUGAGUAGACAUACAUCCACAAACAAGAUCACCUCAUGUGUUCUUCAAUUAAUUCACGACACAAAAAUAUAAGGAGUAAGAUUGGAUUACAAAAAAUUCUCUCUCUCAGGAGCUCUCUACGUUUUCCUCUCAAUUAGAGUGUCUACAAUGAAGCUCUCACAAUAAACCUCAAACAACGAGUUGCCUUUGUUUGGUUGGGGGUUAAGAGGUGGAUUAAUUUCUUAACCCUCAUAUUAUCUCCAAAUGUCUUCAAAAAUGGGUGGGGUUAGCUAACCCCACCUCAAAUAUGCUAUCCUGAGUUAGCUAACCCCACCUCAAAUAUGCUAUCCUGAGUUAGCUAAUCCCACCUAACCCCAUCAAACCUCAACCAAACACUAUUUUCUAUUUAUAAUAACCCACUAUCCUUCUUAUCUCAUCUACUCUAACCAAACACUAUUUUUCACUAUUCUGGACUAACUCCAACCCCCAACCAAACACAAAAAUACUCUAACCCUACCUCAAUCCUGAACUUAAUCCAAUUCCUGGAAUAACUAGUUUUUCCUUAACCCCGAACCGAACGGUAGCUAAAGAUUAAUUAUAAGAGCUUAUAUAACUCUAUAAUCUCAAUUAUGGUAGGAAACGAUCUCCGCCAUACAUCCGAGUCUCCGAUUCGUAUUUAACCAUCAAUCUCCUCAUAGGAAUUAUCUUUAAAGUGAUCUUGAACUAUUCUUAAUAUUUUAAAAUAAGAUUAAAUUCAAUUAGAGUCAAAUUCAGCAUAUUCAACUGGUCGCAUAACUGUGUACUGGUACUCAAAGUU